AAGGCUUGCCUUCUACGCUAUGAACUAAACUGAAGAGCGCCGUGGCAGAACCAGGAGUGACUGAACAUUCAGAAUGAUGAUCAUUGUUUGCUGCAUAACCUUGAACAUUAUACUGGUUUCAGUUUCCUCUUCAAGUGACCAAGUCCACCAGACUCCAAGAGACAUUUACAGCAAACCAGAAGAACCAGCCAGAAUACAAUGUUCACACCAGAUUCAAAGCUAUAACGUGAUCCUCUGGUACAAGAAGUUAAACAAACAGAUGCAGCUCCUGGGAUAUAUGUUAACAACCAACUCAUAUCCAGAGACAGACAUUAAAGUGAAGAUGGAAGGGGACGCGAGUAAAGGAAAGAACUGCACGUUAAUAAUCGAGCGAGUCAAUCAGAACAGCAGUGCGGUCUAUUUCUGUGCAGCUAGUUUCCACAGUGCUGCAUGUCACUGCUCAGCAGUACAAAAACCUCCUCUUCAUCUCUACUGAACACCUGGAUUUCCUUUCUGAUAAUGUGGUUUAUUUUCAGCCUUUUUACUGAGCUGGUGUUAUGUGUCUGUGGUUGACAUGAUGCUAAGAGGAGGAAGAUAAACUACGGCUCCGCCCACCUUAUGACUACCUGUUCAGUUUGCUGAAAGGAGGUUUUAUGACAAGAGGAGGCUGGAAAAAGUCACUGAGAGUAUCAUAUAAGAAACAUUAUUACCAAACAGAAAAGGCAGCAUGAUCAUCUUCUACCUAAUCGUUCAUUUGAACAUGUUUCUGGUUUCAGGCUCCUCGAACAGUGACAAAGUCGACCAGACUCCACGGGACAUUUUCAUCAAACCGGGCAAAGAUGCCAAAAUCAACUGUAAACACAAGAUCGAUAACUAUGACCGGAUCCUCUGGUACAAGCAGUCAAACAAACAGAUGCAGCUCCUGGGAUAUAUGUUUACAACCACCUCAAAUACAGAGAAAGACGUUAAAGUGAAGAUGGAAGGGGACGCGAGUAAAGGAGAGAACUGCACGUUAAUAAUCGAGCGAGUCAAUCAGAGCAGCAGUGCGGUCUAUUUCUGUGCAGCUAGUUUCCACAGUGCUGCAUGUCACUGCUCAGCAGUACAAAAACCUCCUCUUCAUCUCUACUGAACACCUGGAUUUCCUUUCUGAUAAUGUGGUUUAUUUUCAGCCUUUUUACUGAGCUGGUGUUGUGUGUCUGUGGUUGACGUGAUGCUAAGAGGAGGAAGAUAAACUACAGCUCCGCCCACCUUAUGACUACCUGUUCAGUUUUCUGAAAGGAGGUUUUAUGACAAGAGGAGGCUGGAAAAAGUCACUGAGAGUGUCAUAUAAGAAACAUUAUUACCAAACAGAAAAGGCAGCAUGAUCAUCUUCUACCUGAUCGUUCAUUUGAACAUGUUUCUGGUUUCAGUUUCCUCUUCAAGUGACCAAGUCCACCAGACUCCAAGAGACAUUUACAGUAAACCAGGAGAACCAGCCAGAAUACAAUGUUCACACCAGAUUCAAAGCUAUGAUCAAAUCCUCUGGUACAAGAAGUCAAACAAACAGAUGCAGCUCCUGGGAUAUAUGUAUUCAACCACCUCAAAUCCAGAGAAAGACGUUAAAGUGAAGAUGGAAGGUGGUGCUAAUAAAGGAGAGAACUGCACGUUAAUAAUCGAGCGAGUCAAUCAGAGCAGCAGUGCGGUCUAUUUCUGUGCAGCUAGUUUCCACAGUGCUGCAUGUCACUGCUCAGCAGUAGAAAAACCUCCUCUUCAUCUCUACUGAACACCUGGAUUUCCUUUCUGAUAAUGUGGUUUAUUUUCAGCCUUUUUACUGAGCUGGUGUUGUGUGUCUGUGGUUGACAUGAUGCUAAGAGGAGGAGGAUAAACUACGGCUCCGCCCACCUUAUGACUACCUGUUCAGUUUGCUGAAAGGAGGUUUUAUGACAAGAGGAGGCUGGAAAAAGUCACUGAGAGUAUCAUAAAAGAAACAUUAUUACCAAACAGAAAAGGCAGCAUGAUCAUCUUCUACCUGGUCGUUCAUUUGAACAUGUUUCUGGUUUCAGGCUCCUCGAACAGUGACAAAGUCGACCAGACUCCACGGGACAUUUUCAUCAAACCGGGCAAAGAUGCCAAAAUCAACUGUAAACACAAGAUCGAUAACUAUGACCGGAUCCUCUGGUACAAGCAGUCAAACAAACAGAUGCAGCUCCUGGGAUAUAUGUAUUCAACCAUCUCAAAUCCAGAGAAAGACGUUAAAGUGAAGAUGGAAGGUGGUGCUAAUAAAGGAGAGAACUGCACGUUAAUAAUCGAGCAAGUCAAUCAGAACAGCAGUGCGGUCUAUUUCUGUGCAGCUAGUUUCCACAGUGCUGCAUGUCACUGCUCAGCAGUACAAAAACCUCCUCUUCAUCUCUACUGAACACCUGGAUUUCCUUUCUGAUAAUGUGGUUUAUUUUCAGCCUUUUUACUGAGCUGGUGUUGUGUGUCUGUGGUUGACGUGAUGCUAAGAGGAGGAGGAUAAACUAUGGCUCCGCCCACCUUAUGACUACCUGUUCAGUUUGCUAAAAAGGAGGUUUUAUGACAAGAGGAGGCUGGAAAAAGUCACUGAGAGUAUCAUAUAAGAAACAUUAUUACCAAACAGAAAAGGCAGC